AUUUUAACAUCUGAGUUUUCUCAGAGUACGGAUCUGAUGGGUUUUGAUAUUUUCACACAUUACGGAGUUCAGAAUUAUAUGGCGAAUAAUGGUUUGGUAGUUCGGGAAGAAUAUCGUCGCCGAGGAAUUGCUAUGCAUAUGCUUCUAGUCGCAAAAGAAGUUUGUAUAAAAAAUGAAAUAAACGUGGUAGCAACUAUUGUUACAUCUAAAAGCGUGAACCAAAUGACCACAAAUUUUGGACUUGAACUCAAUGCAAGCCAAAGACUUACGAAGGAUUUGACAAUCACGUUGAGAUCAAUCAAAUUUUAAGAAGAAUAUUUGCAAAUAACUCCGCAUAUAUAUGGUUUAUACGCAUAUAUGCAGCGUAUAUGCGGCAUACUUGCGAUGUCUUCAUCUAUUUAUAGUAUAUUCGGUAAAAAAUACUUGAGUAUAAACCGUAUAAAUGUAUAGAUAAUUCCCCCUAGCUGCAUUACUUUUCAACGUAUACUUUUUUCAUAGUUUGUACCAUAGACAUUAUUUUGAAUAAUAAAAAACUAACACAACUGAAAAGUGAAAGAAUAAA